rnacentral:rRNA from 1 species
GUGGGGAAUCUUGCGCAAUGGGCGAAAGCCUGACGCAGCGACGCCGCGUGCGGGAAGAAGGCCUUCGGGUUGUAAACCGCUUUCAGGAGGGACGAAGCCACUCGGGUUAAUAGCCCAGAGGGUGACGGUACCUCCAGAAGAAGCCCCGGCUAACUACGUGCCAGCAGCCGCGGUAAUACGUAGGGGGCAAGCGUUGUCCGGAUUUAUUGGGCGUAAAGAGCGUGUAGGCGGCCAGGUAGGUCGGUUGUGAAAACUCGAGGCUCAACCUCGAGAUGUCGACCGAAACCAUCUGGCUAGAGUCCGGAAGAGGAGAAUGGAAUUCCCGGUGUAGCGGUGAAAUGCGCAGAUAUCGGGAAGAACACCCGUGGCGAAGGCGGUUCUCUGGGACGGUACUGACGCUGAGACGCGAAAGCGUGGGGAGCGAACAGGAUUAGAAACCCUAGUAGUCC